CGGAUGCUGACGAGUGGCGAACGGGUGAGUAAUGCAUCGGAACGUGCCCAGUCGUGGGGGAUAACGCAGCGAAAGCUGCGCUAAUACCGCAUACGAUCUAUGGAUGAAAGCGGGGGACCGUAAGGCCUCGCGCGAUUGGAGCAGCCGAUGUCAGAUUAGGUAGUUGGUGGGGCAAAGGCUCACCAAGCCAACGAUCUGUAGCUGGUCUGAGAGGACGACCAGCCACACUGGAACUGAGACACGGUCCAGACUCCUACGGGAGGCAGCAGUGGGGAAUUUUGGACAAUGGGCGCAAGCCUGAUCCAGCAAUGCCGCGUGCAGGAAGAAGGCCUUCGGGUUGUAAACUGCUUUUGUACGGAACGAAACGGUCUGAGUUAAUACCUCGGGCUAAUGACGGUACCGUAAGAAUAAGCACCGGCUAACUACGUGCCAGCAGCCGCGGUAAUACGUAGGGUGCAGGCGUUAAUCGGAAUUACUGGGCGUAAAGCGUGCGCAGGCGGUGAUGUAAGACAGUCGUGAAAUCCCCGGGCUCAACCUGGGAAUUGCGAUUGUGACUGCAUCGCUGGAGUGCGGCAGAGGGGGAUGGAAUUCCGCGUGUAGCAGUGAAAUGCGUAGAUAUGCGGAGGAACACCGAUGGCGAAGGCAAUCCCCUGGGCCUGCACUGACGCUCAUGCACGAAAGCGUGGGGAGCAAACAGGAU
rnacentral:rRNA from 1 species